ACAGAAAAGUUCUCCAAGUCCCGGCUAGAUUAGCUAGAUACAGAGUACUGAGAGGUGUAUUUACGAACCUUGAACUAGACACAGGGUGCUGAUUGGUGUAUUCACAAUCCCUUAGCUAGACAUAAAGGUUCUCCAAGUCCCCACUAAGGAGCGCGGCUUGCUUCACCUAGUGGCUCCCACGCAGGGCCGCAGAUGGAGCUGCCCGCCACCUGUGGGCCUGCACUUCUCAGUCCUUGAGCGGUGGAUGGGAGCGGGCACCAGGGAGCUGCGGCCGGCGCCCUUGGAGGAGGGUCAGGCCUCGCGGGAACCCACAGAACUUAGCCAUUAUGAUGAGAGGAAAUCCAAGCAACUCCACGGAAAAGCCACAUGACAGCACAAACUAAGGUCCAGUCUGAGGGGCAGCAUCGACCAUCACACAUGGGCCUCCAAAAGGAUGAAUAUGUACUUAUCUUACACGGGGUGAAGGCUGUGAGAGUGAGUAUUACAGUAGCUUCAUUAUUACACAGAUCCUGCUCUUGAAAUUAUUUGUGUAAUUUUUGCAAGCAGAUAGCCCAGUGCAGAUAUUUGGAGGUCACUAUGAAGGGCCAGAUAAAUAUUACCGAAAGCCAGAAAAACUAGAAAGCAAGGCCAUAAGAAGGUCUU